rnacentral:misc_RNA from 1 species
AAGUCGUAACAAGGUUUCCGUAGGUGAACCUGCGGAAGGAUCAUUACAAAAUCCAAAAGUUUGGGGUGCCAGCUGAGCGAUUGGUCUUUCGGGGCCUUUCUGUUCGCUGCCCUCAAAUCUUUUACCUACCCCAAAAACCACUGUGCACUGUGAACAAAGCUUCACCGAACAAGUCUUUUGGCUUUUUUGGGGAGCUUUAACCCAUUUUUACACGCUUACAUUUUUUGACAACUGUAUUUCAUUUUCUAUGGUUUAGCUUUCGAGCGAUCAUGUAAAAUAAACACAAUGUUAAUACAACUUUUAGCAACGGAUCUCUUGGCUCUC